rnacentral:rRNA from 1 species
UAGGGAAUCUUCCACAAUGGACGCAAGUCUGAUGGAGCAACGCCGCGUGAGUGAAGAAGGUCUUCGGAUCGUAAAGCUCUGUUGUUGGUGAGGAAGGAUAGAGGCAGUAACUGGUCUUUAUUUGACGGUAAUCAACCAGAAAGUCACGGCUAACUACGUGCCAGCAGCCGCGGUAAUACGUAGGUGGCAAGCGUUGUCCGGAUUUAUUGGGCGUAAAGCGAGCGCAGGCGGAAUGAUAAGUCNGAUGUGAAAGCCCACGGCUCAACCGUGGAACUGCAUCGGAAACUGUCAUUCUUGAGUGCAGAAGAGGAGAGUGGAACUCCAUGUGUAGCGGUGGAAUGCGUAGAUAUAUGGAAGAACACCAGUGGCGAAGGCGGCUCUCUGGUCUGCAACUGACGCUGAGGCUCGAAAGCAUGGGUAGCGAACAGGAUUA